CUUGAGCAACCCGUUGGGCGGUUGGUCUGGCCUAGAAUGGGUGGGCGAGCGCCUGGGUGGUAUUUCUCUCGCGCGCAAAAGGAACUAUUUUGGGAGAGGAGUAUGGCCGGACGAGCCAAAUAUAGUGCGAGCAGAAGAUAUUUAUAGCGCUGUACAUCCGUUACUGCCAGCCGUCUCCCUGUUGCUUUCCGGGGAGGGGGUGGGAGGAAAGUACAGAGUCAGGACCUUUGCAAUCGGGACUCGGUUUUGCAAAGGGGUCAUCUGAGUGGGGAUUCCCCGGCCUGACCGGGAGGAGACGGCAGGGGCUGCCCCGGGCCGAGCCUGACGCAAUGGAGAGAAGCCGAGGGCGGGUAAACGGGGAUAUCCCUGGCGGGGCGGGGCCUCCUGCUAGUAGCAGCAAUAUUGGUUUUGCUCCUUGCCCGGAGGGUGCCGCUGCCCUCUCGUUUACAUUCGUUGGUCGUUCCUACAAAGGAAAGGCACCUCUAGCCCAGCAAAGCUAGCCAGCAGCCUCCCUCCAUCCUGGAAUUAUUGCCUUCUUAAAAAACACUGGGGAAACACUAGUCUCAUGAAAUGCAAGCGAAUCGCGGCGAGCCCGUUGUUGGGAUCCUAUGUCAAUGGGACAUCGGAAUACUGCUAACCACGUAGUGUAAAAAUCUGGAACGUGACAAAAUAGAUCCUUGAAGUUGGCGGCACCCCCUUUUCCACUUCGCUUUUUGCUGACUUCACUUGCUGGGGUAAAUCUGUGUGCAGCGCUGAAGCUGCUGAUCUGGAAUCGUUCGAGACACAGGUGUGGACAAAAGACGCAGUCCUGAGAAUGUGCAGUGCAUGUAUACUCAGAAGGAAGUCUAAUUGAAUUUAGUGAGAUUUGUUCCCUAGUAAAUGUCUCUGUUUGCAACCCGACACUGUCAGUAUUUACUCGGAAGUAAGCCCCGCUGACUAAAGUGGGAUUUGCUCUCAGGUAUGCUAACUGACUAUAUAAAGCAUAGCCAACACAAAGACUCGAAAUGCAUUGUUCUCAGAAUUCGUACAAGUCACUAAUGAGUAUAAGCUGAAGGUGGAGAUUUGGCAUUUUGCCUUUGGUUCACGUACGUACACAAUAAAGUCAUCCCAGACUGGAAGAAA